AUUGAACACUGGCGGCAGGCUUAACACAUGCCAGUCGAGCGGUAGCACAGGGGAGCUUGCUCCCUGGGUGACGAGCGGCGGACGGGUGAGUAAUGUCUGGGAAACUGCCUGAUGGAGGGGGAUAACUACUGGAAACGGUAGCUAAUAUCGCAUAACGUCGCAAGACCAAAGAGGGGGACCUUCGGGCCUCUUUCCAUCAGAUGUGCCCAGAUGGGAUUAGCUAGUAGGUGGGGUAAUGGCUCACCUAGGCGACGAUCCCUAGCUGGUCUGAGAGGAUGACCAGCCACACUGGAACUGAGACACGGUCCAGACUCCUACGGGAGGCAGCAGUGGGGAAUAUUGCACAAUGGGCGCAAGCCUGAUGCAGCCAUGCCGCGUGUGUGAAGAAGGCCUUCGGGUUGUAAAGCACUUUCAGCGAGGAGGAAGGUGGUGAGCUUAAUACGUUCAUCAAUUGACGUUACUCGCAGAAGAAGCACCGGCUAACUCCGUG
rnacentral:rRNA from 1 species